GCCCUUCUUGCCCUGGCGCCGCCUCCAGCCCAGCCCGUUUCUUGCAGAUUUUAGCUUCUCCCUUGCCUGCCGCCUUUCCCGUUUCGGCUCGGUGAAGCUACCUAUGGGUUGCUGUUCAUUUAACAAACGGUGAUCCGGAUAAACAUGUUCACUUCUUCGCCUGGGCAAACUUUCCAGCCCCCGACCCACUCAUGUCACGAUACCUUCCCGUGUCCAAGUCCGGCUCUCUGCUCCCCACUUUUUUUUUUUUUUUUUUUUGAGACAGAGUGUUUCUCUGUCUCCCAGGCUGGAGUGCAGUGGCGCGAUCUCAACUCACAGUACCCCCUGCCUCCCGGGUUCAAACGAUUUUCUUGCCUCAGCCUCCUGAGUAGCUGGGAUUACAGGCGCGCGCCACCACAGCCGGCUAAUUUUUAUGUUUUAGUAGAGACAGGGUUUCACCAUGUUGGCCAGGAUGGUCUCCAUCUCUUGACCUCGUGAUCCGCCCGCCUCGGCCUCUCAAGGUGCUGGGAUUACAGGUGUGAGCCGCCGCGCCCGGCCUCUUUGCUCUUUUAUACUCUCAGAAGCAAUGAGUUCUGGUUAAAAAAAAGGGCUCGAUAGACGGAAAAAAUGAAGGCUUAAAGAACUGACAACAAAAUAUUAACAUUUGGCUUGUGGAAUUCUUACACUCUCGUAAGCAGAAAAAACAAAUGUUAUGGCAAAAAAGUGUCUCAGACAAAUCCGUCUUGGGGGGAAAAAAAUUAAAAGAAUGAGAAAAACAGACUUCGGAAUAAAUAGACCCAAAGGAGGAAGUAUUGAAAAUGGCAAGAUUCACUUUUACAAACUUAUUUGGAACCACGGCAGAUGGCCAGGGCAGGGAUUUUGCAAGGCAGCUCCAGUUGAGCAGUUGAUUUCUCACCGCCCACCCCCGACCCCACCACUAUUGAUCAUGAGGUGCUUUGAGGGGUCCGGGUUUGGAGGACUGAAACACCGUGGGAUCUUGGAACAGCUCUUCCUUGUUGGUGAUCCCUUAUUAAGAAGCCCUCCAGCCUGACAAUGCUGAAGCCCUGGAGGUUGGAGCCACUCAGAAGAGGAAACCAGAGCACAGAAAGGUUAAGUGAAAUGCCCGAAGUCACACAACUGAUAAAUGGUCAAAUUGGGAUCCAAGCCCAGGCAGCUCUGAGUCAUUGACAUUACUCUGUCCUAGAAGGCACUCGACAGAAAGGGGGUUUGUGCUUCCUCCAUCCCACCCAGCUUCUGAAUGGUCCAGGCCCCUGACUGCAUUGCCACGAAAAGGCCUCAGAAAAAUGUCUGUGCAUGCAUCAAGACUGCAAGCCAGAUCCAAAAUGUAUCAGGUCUCCUUUAUGGGGAAUAGUGAGAAGCAAAUGGAAAUAGAUUGUCUUCCUGCUUGGGACUGUUAACACAGCAGCCAAACUGAACUGAAAAUAUUUUAUUUUAUUUUAUGAGAAUUUUAAUGAGAAUAUUUUAUUCUCAUUAUACUUUGCUAGAAGUUGCCUUCUAGAGGGAUUUCUUUGGGCUUUUAUUUUGAAUUCUAAUAAAGAAUACCUUGACUACAAAUUUGGCCUUGAGAUGUCAUUUAAUGAGGAGUCAAGAUUUUAGUUUCUGGUAGAAAACUGGACACUAAGCUUUCUCCUACGAAAUUGACAUUCUUUGUGCCAACCUUUUAACACUCUCCAAGGGUACCUUCUAGUGGCUUAAUAAAAUCAUCGCUAUGAUGAUGUACUACAUACUUAUGGAAAGCAAGGUUAUUUUAUUAAGAGACAUUAUGCUUUGUAUAGGGAGUUAGAUGGUGCAAGUAAUUUAAGAUAACAAAGGUCCUCAUUUUGUCCCAGAAUUGGCUUUUCUUGCUGAUUCAGCUUUGGAACCUGUGCCUGUUGAACAAAGAAGGAAGGCAGAGAGCAUUUUAACGUCACCUGGUGUCUAGGUGC
rnacentral:lncRNA from 1 species